GAUAUCAACUGAAAAAGUCAUCAACAACAAAGUUGAAUAACUCAUCAAGAUCUAAAACUUUUAUUUUGGUCAUUUCUUCAUACGACAAAGUGAUAGUAACAUUGUUCACAAAAUUGACAUAUCUAUUAUCUGGUUUAUAAACUAUAACACAUAUAUGUAAAAUUUGUGAAUAAUAUUACUAACAUUUCGUCGGAUGAAGAAAUAAUACAAGUAAAAGUUUUAGAUCUUGAUGAGUUAUUCAACUUUGUUGUUGAUGACUUUUUCAAUUGAAAUC
rnacentral:pre_miRNA from 1 species